CCCAGUCUGAAAUCAAUUGUUUCACAAGCAAAGAAUACUGUGGCAACAUAUUACCAAGGCAUGACUGUAUUUUAAAGAGAUCUAUAUCAUCUCCAGACAUCAAACCUGCCUCAUCCUUCCAACACUUGUAAAAUUUCUUUACAAAAAUCAUAUUACCAAUCUCUUCCUUUGCAUCCUGCUUAAAUGCCAAAGCAGUGAAUAUAGACUGCUUAUUCUUCCAUAAUCCCAACAUUUCAGCUUCCACCUUGUUCCAAAUUUUAGCACAUCUUACUGAAGUACUAAGCUCAUAAUCACCAAUUCAUUUCAAACCAUAUAACUCAUACUCAGCAUCCCAUGUAAUAUUAGUCAUCUCAUAAAACAAUAUCUUUGUAGAAACACAUAAUGGGUACCCAGCAGAUAUGCCAAUACAGAAAUCAC